rnacentral:rRNA from 1 species
ACCUACGGGGGGCAGCAGUGGGGAAUAUUGCACAAUGGGGGGAACCCUGAUGCAGCAACGCCGCGUGAGUGAAGAAGUAUUUCGGUAUGUAAAGCUCUAUCAGCAGGGAAGAAGAUGACGGUACCUGAGUAAGAAGCCCCGGCUAACUACGUGCCAGCAGCCGCGGUAAUACGUAGGGGGCAAGCGUUAUCCGGAUUUACUGGGUGUAAAGGGAGCGUAGACGGCGAGGCAAGUCUGGAGUGAAAGCCCGGG